CCGGGCGAUUUGCAUUUCAAUGGGUUCCGCUGGUAGACUCAGUGCCGGGCACUUCCGCAGCUCCUACCAGAUCUGCCUUUGUUGGUUUUAGCUCAGGUCAAGUUCAUUUCUUGGGACUGGGGGAGCGGCGCGCGUUGAGUCUGUGUAGUGAGGCAGAACGCGCGCGCCGGGAAGGAAGGAGCCGCGCGCCCUUUGUCUGCGCAGCCCGAGGCUCGGAGCGCCUGCUUCAUCUACGAGUACUGAGGAUUGAACUGAGGGCCUCAUACAUGCUAGAAAAUAGCAGGUAUUCAGUCAAGGCUGGAACAAAGGUGGAGCAGGCAAGGUGAGGAUUCAAGGAGGUACUCUCUGUCAGUUCCUGCAGGAUCAGCACCCAGAAAUGAGUGCUUCAUUGCAGGGGUCCAGCCCAGCACGCGUGGUGCAGAGUGUGCAGAAAGCAGAAUGGAGGAACAGAUUGUUUUCUUCCACAGGAGGGACCUUGGGAAGCUUCCUACUUAUUUCAGGGGUGCUGCAGUCACCAAAGUUCUUUGUGUUUGUUUUUGUUUUUGGAACUCCCCUUUAAGAUAUGUCUUUGGACUUUGUAUUUCCAAAUAUUUCUUAAAUCUAUCCAUUUCUCGUCAUCCUUUCAGCCUGUGUUCUCAUUUAGAUACUUACCAUUUCUUAAUCUUUAAUAUGGAAACAUCUCACUUGUUCAUUCUCUGUCUGCACCCCUUCAGUUAAUUUUCCACACUGUUGUUAGAAUUAUCUUUUUUUCUUUGAUCAUAUCUUUUGGCUGGCAUUCAAUGCUUUGUACCACCUGGUCUUGUUCUACUUUUCCAGGAUUCUGUCUACUCCUCCAUAGGAACAAUGUUGCUUUGAAUACUAGCGUACUAGUCUUUGUUUGGAUGUAUAUUCAUUUCUUUUGGGUAUAUAAUUUUGGUGUGGAAUUGCUUGGUCCUAUAGUAACAUUUUGAGAAACUGCCAAUCUGUUUUCCAGAGCAGCUGUGCCAUUUUUCAUUCCUACCAGCAAUGUAUGAGAGUUCCAGUUUCUCCACUUCCUCAUCAACACCUGGUAUUGUUUAUCUUCUUAACUGUAACUAUAUUAAAGGGUGUAUAGUAGUAACUCACUGUGGUUUUGAUUUGUAUUUUCCUAACAAUGAUUUUGAGCAUCUUUUCAUAUGUUCAUUAGCCAUUCACAUUUCUUUAGAAAAAUGCCUAUUCAAAUUCUUUGCCUAUUAUUUUAAUUUUUUUAAAUUUUUUUGGUAUCGGGGAUUGAACUUGGGACCUUGCACUUGCGAGGCAGGUGCUGGAACCACUGAGCUAAAUCCCCAG
rnacentral:lncRNA from 1 species